rnacentral:rRNA from 1 species
AGAGAUGUGUGAUGACGCAUAUCAAUAAGCGGAGGAAAAGAAACUAACAAGGAUUCCCUUAGUAACGGCGAGUGAAGCGGGAAGAGCUCAAAUUUGAAAUCUUCAAGGUUCUACCUUGACGAAUUGUAGUUUAUAGAAGUGUUUUCUGUUAGUGGAGUGGCAAAAGUUCUUUGGAAUAGGACAUCAUAGAGGGUGAGAAUCCCGUAUUUGGUCAUUCCUCCUAGCGUUGUGAUACACUUUCAACGAGUCGGAUUGUUUGGGAAUGCAGUCCAAAAUGGGUGGUAAAUUUCAUCUAAAGCUAAAUAUUGGCGAGAGACCGAUAGCGAACAAGUACCGUGAGGGAAAGAUGAAAAGAACUUUGAAAAGAGAGUUAAACAGUACGUGAAAUUGUCAAAAGGGAAGCGUUUGACACCAGUGUUGUUUUUCCGAAAAUCAAUUACGAAUGUUUUAUUUUUGAGGAGUUAUGACUUCAUCGGCUUGCUUCUCUCUUUAUGAAACUUUCUUAAUGCACUUUUCGGUUAACAAGUCAACAUCAAUUUCUUUUGUUGUAAAAGAGUAUGAGGAAGGUGGCUUUCUUUUCGGAGAAAGUGUUUAUAGCCUUGUACCUCUGCAAUCGGAGAGAUUGAGGUCUGCAGCGUAGAUCCUUCGGGGUUAGAUACAUUUGUGCUAAGUUAUAGCUUUUCAUAGACAACUUGUUGACUAUGUUUAGUCUUGUAGCUUACUCGCUUAUGCUAUUUUACCUACGCUUAGGAUGUUGAUAGUCACAGCGUGUAC